AAAUGAAUUGACGGGGGCCCGCACAAGCAGUGGAGCAUGUGGUUUAAUUCGACGCUACGCGAAGAACCUUACCAGGACUUGACAUAGGAUUUAAAACUCUAGAAAUAGAGCCAUAAUAAGUCCAUACAGGUGGUGCAUGGUUGUCGUCAGCUCGUGUCGUGAGAUGUUGGGUUAAGUCCCGCAACGAGCGCAACCCUUGUCCUUAGUUGCCAUCAUUAAGUUGGGAACUCUAGGGAGACUGCCGAUGUAAAUCGGAGGAAGGUGGGGAUGACGUCAAAUCAUCAUGCCCUUUAUGUCCUGGGCGACACACGUGCUACAAUGGUCGGUACAAAGGGACGCAAUACCGUAAGGUGGAGCAAAUCUCAGAAAGCCGAUCUCAGUUCGGAUUGAAGUCUGCAACUCGACUUCAUGAAGCUGGAAUUGCUAGUAAUCGCGAAUCAGCCAUGUCGCGGUGAAUACGUUCCCGGGCCUUGUACACACCGCCCGU
rnacentral:rRNA from 1 species